rnacentral:lncRNA from 1 species
UUUCCUCAUUUUUUUCAUUUCCUUAUUCGGUUUCUAUUUCCUUUUUUGAUUUUCAUUUCCUUAUUUGUUUUCUAUUUCCUUUUUCGAUUUUCAUUUCCUUAUUUGGUUUCUAUUUCCUUUUUUGAUUUUCAUUUCCAUAUUCGGUUUCUUUUUCCUUAUUCGGUUUCUAUUUCCUUUUUCGAUUUUCAUUUCCUUAUUCGUUUUCUAUUUCCUUUUUCGAUUUUCAUUUUCUUAUUUGGUUUCUAUUUCCUUUUUCAAUUUUCAUUUCCUUAUUCGGUUUCUUUUUCCUUAUUCGGUUUCUAUUUCCUUAUUCAAUUUUCAUUUCCUUAUUCGGUUUCUUUUUCCUUAUUCGAUUUUCCUUUCCUUAUUCGGUUUCUUUUUCCUUUUUCAAUUUUCAUUUCCUUAUUCAGUUUCUAUUUCCUUAUUCGAUUUUCAUUUCCUUAUUCGGUUUCUUUUUUCCUUUUUCGAUAAUCAA